rnacentral:misc_RNA from 1 species
AAAGUCGUAACAAGGUUUCCGUAGGUGAACCUGCGGAAGGAUCAUUAACACGUACGAAAGUACACACCAACCCAGUGGAACUACUUAACGAGAUUCUCUAUACCCUCUCCCUUUGGUUGUGGGCUUGUGUGAUGGAAUGAUUAAUGGGCCUGUGUAAUGCGGGAACAUCACAUGAGCGCGCGUGUCUUUACACGAUACCACUUCUGAAGGCUAUUUACCAUUAGUCACCAUACCGUUUCACCAGUAAACACAUUCGUCUGAAUAGCGGCUUGGAGAAAUCCUUGAAGCUUUUAUCUAAACUAAGCACAACUCUUAGCAAUGGAUAUCUAGGUUCUC